UUGACAGAAGAGAGUGAGCACAUGCUGCAGUGAUUGUAUGAUAGCAUACAAUUCUUGGUGCGUGCUCACUUCUCUUUCUGUCAU
rnacentral:pre_miRNA from 2 species